AAGGCUAUACUUUCAGGAAUCAUUUCUAUAGUGAUCGCCUGGAGAAGCACGUUCAAACAUGAUCGGUCCCUGCC